rnacentral:rRNA from 1 species
AUUGAACGCUGGCGGCAGGCCUAACACAUGCAAGUCGAACGGUAACAGGGAUCAGCUUGCUGAUUCGCUGACGAGUGGCGGACGGGUGAGUAAUGUCUGGGAAACUGCCUGAUGGAGGGGGAUAACUACUGGAAACGGUAGCUAAUACCGCAUAACGUCGCAAGACCAAAGAGGGGGACCUUCGGGCCUCUUGCCAUCGGAUGUGCCCAGAUGGGAUUAGCUAGUAGGUGUGGUAACGGCUCACCUAGGCGACGAUCCCUAGCUGGUCUGAGAGGAUGACCAGCCACACUGGAACUGAGACACGGUCCAGACUCCUACGGGAGGCAGCAGUGGGGAAUAUUGCACAAUGGGCGCAAGCCUGAUGCGGCCAUGCCGCGUGUAUGAAGAAGGCCUUCGGGUUGUAAAGUACUUUCAGCGGGGAGGAAGGGAGUAAAGUUAAUACCUUUGCUCAUUGACGUUACCCGCAGAAGAAGCACCGGCUAACUCCGUG